rnacentral:rRNA from 1 species
CAGCAGCCGCGGUAAAACGAAGGGUGCAAGCGUUACUCGGAAUUACUGGGCGUAAAGCGUGCGUAGGUGGUGGUUUAAGUCCGUUGUGAAAGCCCUGGGCUCAACCUGGGAAUUGCAGUGGAUACUGGGUCACUAGAGUGUGGUAGAGGAUAGUGGAAUUUCCGGUGUAGCAGUGAAAUGCGUAGAGAUCGGAAGGAACACCGAUGGCGAAGGCAGCCCCCUGGGCCAACACUGACGCUCAUGCACGAAAGCGUGGGGAGCAAACAGGAUUAGAUACCCCUGUAGUCCCUGUCUCUUAUAA